UGCGAUGAGUCGAAUGGUCAAGCAAUCUUCGGAUUGUUUCGCGCAAGCGAUUAAUGACAUUCUCAUGGGACACAUUUACCUGACGUAUUUCAGGGUGUCCGGCAGUAGGAUAUUGUGGAA
rnacentral:ncRNA from 1 species